rnacentral:lncRNA from 10 species
GAAACGAGAAAAUUCAGGAGGGUGCUGUAGGUGCUGUGAUUUAAGUGGGUCUGUGUGAAGCAUAUGCUGUGGGUCCAGAUCUUACGAUGGGUUUACUAGAAGACGUGGUGAAGUUUGAGUUUUCUUGAAAACUUCGAGGAUGGAUGAGGGGAGGAGGCUAGGACAGGGGCAUCUGAGCAGUGACAGGUAGUUCUUUGAAAAAGUAGGAUGUGGUGACAGCCUAGGUAUGACAUAUGCCUUCCCAUUGGUUGCCAGUAUUGAUUGGGCUAGUCUCGCUAGUCAUAAGGGUUUUUCUCUCCUUAUUUUUUGCUCCAUAUGCAUUCUUCAUCUCAUGAAGUCUUCCCAGUGAAGCUGUGCUUUCUGUUGCUGAUGAGAGAAAAAUCAGGUAUUUCUAGGGAAAGAACUGAAUUGAUCCCACAGAUAAAUACUUGCCUUAAAAAAAGAACUGAAUUGGGAGCUGGAUGUAAUCUACAUAAUCUGGACUUUCAUCCCCAUUUUUCCACUAAUUAGCCAUGUGACUUUGGGAAGGUCACAUAACCUUUAUGAGACAGUUUCUUCAGGUGUAAAGUGAGAAUAAUG